rnacentral:rRNA from 1 species
UCUUCUUGUAUUAAUUAGAAGUCGGACCUGUCCACUGAUUUAUUGAAGGGCCGCGGUAUUUUGACCGUGCAAAGGUAGCAUAAUCAUUAGUCUUUUAAUUGAAGGCUGGAAUGAAUGGUUUGACGAAGUAAUAUCUGUCUCUAAUAUAAAUUAAUUGAAAUUCAUUUUUGAGUUAAAAGGCUUAAAUAUCAAUAAGGGACGAGAAGACCCUAUAGAUCUUAAUAAUAUAUUUUAUUAUGAUAAUUUUAGAUGUUAAAGUUUUUUAAUAAAUUAUAUUAUUUUGUUGGGGUGAUAUAAGAAUAUUAUAACUUCUUAAAUUUUAACUUUUAUGGAAGGAUAAAAAGAUCCUUUAAUAUGGAAUGAAGAUUAAGAUACCUUAGGGAUAACAGCGUAAUCUUGUUGGAGAGUUCUUAUUGAUAAUAAGGAUUGCGACCUCGAUGUUGGAUUAAGGAAAUAUAUGUAUUGGUGUAGAUGCUUAUAAUAUUGGUCUGUUC